rnacentral:misc_RNA from 1 species
AGCCCCUUUUACAGGUUCUGUAUCUUUCUAUUUUUCAUUUUUAUUUUUUUUCCCUUUUAAUUUACUAAUAAUUAUUUAUUUUCCAUAGACAAGAUUUUCAUAGCUUUAGCCAGGGUGAAUCAUAGUUUCAGCGAGUGAAUUUCCUAGAAGAAAUACAUAAAGAAAGAAAAUCAACUUUUUUUUAUCAAUUUCAUUUUGAAAAUAGACUUCGUGUGCAUUUCAUUUGUGAAAUGGAUUUUCCAUCGGUGUUUUGUUGAAAAAGGCGAAAGAAAAAGGGAUUUCUGUGAAGGUUUGAUCUGUUAGGGUUUGGUUUUUUUGGGGCGUUGUUGAUUUGAUUGUUGAUUAUUGAGAGGGACAUGGAUAAGAAGAAGUUGGCAGUGCCUUUAGUUUGCCACGGGCAUUCGCGUCCUGUUGUGGAUUUGUUCUACAGUCCUGUUACUCCUGAUGGCUUUUUUCUCAUAAGUGCCAGCAAAGAUUCUAGCCCAAUGUUGAGAAAUGGAGAGACCGGAGAUUGGAUUGGGACCUUUGAAGGACAUAAAGGUGCAGUGUGGAGUUGUUGCCUUGAUACUAAUGCAUUGCGAGCAGCAUCUGCAUCUGCAGAUUUUACAGCGAAAUUGUGGGAUGCUUUGACUGGGGAUGAAUUACACUCUUUUGAGCAUAAGCACAUUGUUAGGGCUUGUGCCUUUUCAGAGGAUACACAUCUUCUACUUACUGGCGGAGUGGAGAAAAUUCUUCGUAUAUUUGACUUGAAUCGUCAGGAUGCACCCCCAAGAGAAGUUGACAGUUCACCUGGUUCUAUUAGAACUGUUGCAUGGCUUCACAGCGACCAGACCAUAUUAAGUUCUUGUACUGACAUGGGUGGUGUGAGGUUAUGGGACAUACGAAGUGGAAAAAUUGUUCAAACUCUUGACACGAAGUCACCUGUAACUAGCGCUGAAGUUAGUCAGGAUGGUCGAUAUAUAACUACUGCUGAUGGGUCUACAGUUAAAUUUUGGGAUGCAAAUCACUUUGGGCUGGUGAAGAGCUACAAUAUGCCAUGCAAUGUGGAAUCAGCUUCAUUGGAACCAAAACUUGGUAAUAAAUUUGUCGCAGGUGGAGAAGAUAUGUGGAUCCAUGUAUUUGAUUUCAAUACAGGAGAACAGAUUGGUAUGUAUUUCCGAAUCGUUGGAUCUUCAGAUUGGUUAUAUAGUUAAGAACCAAGUAAAAAACUAGGUGAUCAGCAAUUCAGCAUUUUUGCUUUGUGCUGAAUGGGCUUUUUGCUUCUUUGUAACCACUGCACAGUUUUUGGCAAGAUAUCUUGCUGCUUUAAGUAAAUACUCCAUUAAGGUCCAAGAUUUGAUGUAGAUUUACCAUCAAAGCAUCUAUUCCUCACUAGCUGCUUGUUGUCAUUCUAGUUUUUAACUUCUAGGCUAUGGCAAGAUGUCCUUGCCAAAAAAAAAAAAAGGAAAGGAAAAGUGAAAAAGAAAAGUCGAUCAUCUAAGCUGAAUGGCAGAUGUAGCUGUGUUUAUUGGUUUGAUCAGUGAUCCUUUUGCCAACCUAUCUGUUAGUUCACCCCAUUUCCAUCUCAUUCAUCUCACCUUUGAAAAAAUGGAUUUUUUUUUGCCACCAUAAGCAGAUGAGCUGCACUUAAAUGCGUCAUCCGGAGGAAUUUCAGAUCUGUUGUGUAGUUAAAAUUUGCUGAUCUUUGUGGGUUUAUGGUUUUAAUCAGCUUCUUGCACAUGCUUUUCUUGUGCAGGGUGCAACAAGGGUCACCAUGGUCCUGUUCAUUGUGUGCGGUUCUCCCCUGGAGGUGAAUCUUAUGCUUCAGGGUCUGAAGAUGGAACUAUCAGAAUCUGGCAAACAGGGCCCGCAAAUCUCGAGGAGAAUGAUUCACUCUCCAGAAAUGGGCCAACUGGAAAAGUGAAGGCAUUAGCUGAUGAUGUAGCCCAUAAGAUCGAAAGCUUUCAUAUAAGCAAAGAAGGGAAAGCUUCUGAGAAGGACAAGGCAACAGAUGCCUGACUAGGGCUUUAAAGUUUAGAUUGUCUAUGGGAUUCAACCUGUUUGUUUUGGUAUUUGCUCGAGUGUUAAGUUGUUGGCAUGUUCAUGUGACUUAUUGAGGGUUGUUCUUCUGUGAAAAUAAAUUGACUUAUAAAGCAAAUCAAGAUCAGACCUAAGAAUCUAUGUUUUUCAUAUUUUACAAGAACUUUUAGUUUUAUUAAAAUAUAGAUAGAAAUAGACUUAUUUUUUAAUUAAUA